GGAACCUUCUUAAGGCAGUCGUUUCAGCUCCGGCCUCUUUUAGGGGACGGACCUGGACACAAGGACAAGGGCCCAACCACUCUACUAUAAAGUGCUGCAGUGCCACUGGAUCUAAAACCAGGAAAAGGAAAUGCAUUCAAUAAACAUUUAUACAAAUAA